GACGAACCGUGCGAACGUUAUUCGGAAUCACUGGGCUUAAAGGGCGCGUAGGCGGGUUGCCAAGUCUGUGGUGAAAUCCUCCGGCUCAACCGGAGAACGGCCGUGGAUACUGGCGACCUCGAGGGGGGUAGGGGCUUGCGGAACUGUGCGUGGAGCGGUGAAAUGCGUUGAUAUGCACAGGAACUCCGGUGGCGAAGGCGGCGAGCUGGACCCUUUCUGACGCUGAAGCGCGAAAGCCAGGGGAGCGAACGGG
rnacentral:rRNA from 1 species